ACACUGGUGGUUCAGUGGUAGAAUUCUUGUCUUCCAUGCGGGAGACCUGAGUUCAAUUCCUGAUCAAUGUA
rnacentral:tRNA from 1 species